GAUGAACGCUGGCGGCGUGCUUAAUACAUGCAAGUCGAGCGGACGGGCGAGUAGCUUGCUAUUCGGAUGUUAGGGGCGGACGAGUGAUUAACACGUGGAUAACCAACUUAUAAUACUGGCGUAACUUUGGGAAACCGGAGCUAAUACCGUAUAAUAUUUUGAACCUCAUGGGUCAAAAGUUAUAGACGGUCUUGCUGUCACUUAUAUAUGGACUCGCUGUGAAUUUGCUAGUUGGUAAGGCAACGGCUUACUAAGGCAACGAUGCAGAGCAGACCGGAGAGGGGGAUCGGCCACACUGGAACUGAGACACGGGCCAGACGCCUACGGGAGGCAGCAGUAGGGAAUCUUCCGCAAUGGGCGGAAGCCUGACGGAGCAACGCCGCGUGAGUGAUGAAGGUCUUCGGAUCGUAAAACUCUGUUAUUAGGGAAGAACAUAUGUGUACGGAACUGUGCACAGCUUGACGGUACCUAAUCAGAAAGCCACGGCUAACUACGUG
rnacentral:rRNA from 1 species